rnacentral:tRNA from 1 species
AGCUGUAAGCAGCAAUCGAUGCGAAGGAUUUAGGAUCCUUAUAUGGUGUAAGCCCUUCUUAGUGCCAU